rnacentral:rRNA from 1 species
UGUACUCCCGGGCCAUCGGGGUGGGUAAGAAGGAGGUGGCUAGGGUGGUUCGGAAUUGCUGGGCGUAAGGCGUGCGCAGGCGGUUUGUUAAGCGAGAUGUGAAAGCACUGGGCUCAACCUAGGAAUAGCAUUUCGAACUGGCGAACUAGAGUCUUGUAGAGGGGGGUAGAAUUCCAGGUGUAGCGGUGAAAUGCGUAGAGAUCUGGAGGAAUACCGGUGGCGAAGGCGGCCCCCUGGACAAAGACUGACGCUCAUGCACGAAAGCGUGGGGAGCAAACAGGAUUAGAUACCCUAGUAGUC